rnacentral:misc_RNA from 1 species
CGUCAUGUGAGAGCCGCGCUGCCUGCCGGUGCAGACAGCGACUGCCGCGCUGGGACCGCCCCCGCUCCUGCUCCCGCCCCCGCCUGGCGCCGCAGGCUGCCAUGCGCUCGCCAUGGAGACCAUAGCCGAGGACGCCGAGGCCGACUAUGAGCUCGACAAGGUAAAGAAGAAGUAUGGCGAGGGCGCGGUGGUGGCGACGUUGGAGCGCGGGCCCGCUGGCCUCGGCCUCAGCCUGGCGGGCCAUAAGGACCGCAACAAGAUGGCCGUGCUCGUCUGCGGCCUCAACCCCGCCGGCGCCGCCCACAAGAGCGGCUGCCUGCGCGUCGGCGACGAGAUUCUCGAGGUGAAUGGCGUCGUGCUCCAGGGUCGCUGCCAUCUCAACGCGUCCGCCAUCAUCAAGGGGCUCCCCGGACCGGUCUUCAAAGUUAUCGUCCUAAGACGAGAAAAAGCCAUAGAGGAUUUAGCCGUGAAGCCAAUUACACAGUUCCCAGUCAGCUUGGAUGAUGAGACUCCAGAGGAAAAAUACAGUAACUUCAAAGGUCUGCGGACAGUUACUAUCAAAAAGGGAUCUCAGGGCUUGGGCAUCAUGAUAAUUGAAGGCAAGCAUGCAGAAGUUGGGCAGGGUAUUUUCAUCUCUGAUAUCCAGGAAGGCAGUGCUGCUGAGCAGGCUGGCCUUGUUGUAGGAGAUAUGAUCCUCGCUGUUAACAAGGACACACUUCUUGGGUCUGAUUAUGAUUCAGCGGCAUCACUUCUGAAAAAGACAGAGGGUGUGGUCACACUGAUUGUGUGCAACCCAAACAAAGCCAAGCAGGAGGAGGAAAAGAAGAAUGCAACUGGAACUCCAUCACCAGGAGAAAGUAUGCCAGUUCAACAAGCAUCUUCUCCAACACCAAAGGAGCCGGAGAAGCCAAGACUUUUUCCAAAACCGUUAAUACCAUUGGCCAAACCACAAAAAACACCAUCACCAAAAACGGUCCGUGUUGUUUCUCCAACGUCAACUCCAACAUUGGUGGACUCUCUGUCACCUGGGACCUUUGUGCCAAAACCAUCACCGGUUCGUCCGACUGAACUGGUGACUGCCACCGAUACUUCUCCCUCGGCACGGUUGUCGCCCUCUCCAUCUGGUAAACGUCUGUCUUCCACUCCAGAGGAACCACCAGCUGAUCCUGCAACGUGUGAGAUUGUGCCAGGGAAGGAGACAACUGUGGAGAUAAAUAAGGACAAAAUGGGACUUGGACUCAGUAUUGUGGGUGGCUCUGACACCUUGCUGGGUGUGAUAAUUAUUCAUGAAGUUUAUCCCGAUGGAGCAGCAGCGAAAGAUGGACGACUCAAGCCUGGUGACCAAAUUUUGGAGGUUAAUAGUGAAGACUUUCGGAAUAUAACACAUAGUAAGGCUUUAGCUGCUCUUAGGCAAACACCUGCUAAGGUUAAAAUGGUAGUAUUUAGAGAUGAAGCAUCAACUAAAGAAGAUGAUAUAUUUGAUGUGAUGGAGGUUGAACUUACAAAAAAGCCUGGUAAGGGACUGGGACUUAGUAUUGUUGGAAGGAAAAAUGGACAUGGUGUCUUUAUCUCAGACGUUGUACAUGGUGGAACAGCAGAAGCAGAUGGGCGUCUAAUGAAAGGUGACCAAAUUCUUGCUGUGAAUGGUCAAGACUUAAAGAACUCGUCCCAGGAAGAGGCCGCAGCUGUAUUGAAGACAGCUACUGGGAAAGUUGCAAUGCGGAUUGGCCGCCUCAAAGCAGGCUCAAGGGGCUCUUCUAAUCCAGGCAGUGGUGACAGACUGAAAAAAGAAUGAGAGGGGCCAGUCUGUAGUUGAAACAAUGAAGAAUGAUGCUCUUCUAUUAGUGGUCAACAAAUACGGAGUAUUGAAGAGUGCACUCAUCUGCAGCCCAGAACAGUCAUUUUGGAAAGAGGUCCAGAUGGUUUGGGAU